rnacentral:lncRNA from 1 species
AUUGGAUAGUACUACCUAUGCUCACACUAAUUAAACAAUUAAGUCGAUGCAUUUAAUUUUAUUUUCCCCUGGAAGAUGUAAUCACCAGUAUCGUUAUUGAGGAGGGAGGAGGGGAGAAGAAAACUCCAAACAGCAGAAAACAUUCCUGAGUUCUGUGCGCAGUGCCUUUGAUGGGUGUGCUCAGAUUUUUUUCAUCGAGGUGGUUUUGAAUCAGUUGCAGGCCUUCUUUCAUGUGGGUAACUAUUUAAAGAUGUGAUAUUCGGGGCAAGCGUUUGUACCAACUCAUUUUCUCUGUCUUCUCCCAGGCCGCUGAGGACCGCACAGGGGAGCGGGCGGCGGCAUCGCGAGGACUGACCACUGGGUGGCACUGUUGCUCCAUGGAGAGCUGCCAACGGCGUCCCCGGGGACCCGGCCACGUUGAGCACAAAAGGCAGAGGAGCCUGGCAACCAUGUCCCAAGUUGGAAGGAAGCUCUGAGAACCCUGCUCCCCAGAAAUCCUGAGCAAAGGCUGGCUGGCCUACAGGAGCAGUCUAGAGUAAGAGCUGUUUCCUGGCAGAGGAUCAAGUAUCCAGGUCACAUUGAAGAGACAUGUGAGGACUCCAAUGGAGAACAAUUUGAGAGUGAGAAACCAGUUCUGGAGGCCAGGAAGUUCAAGAUCAAGGUGUUGGCAAGUUCAGUGUCUGCUGAGGACCUGAUCUCUCUUCUUUCAAGAUGGCAUCUUGUUGCUCUUCCCUCCAGAGAGUAGAAAUGCUGGAACCUCACAUGGAGGAAAAAAUGAAAAGGACCAAUGCUAGUUCCCUUCAGCCUUUUUAUGAACUCACUAAUUCCCAUUGAGGGCUCCACAUACAUGACUUAAUCACCUCCUAAAUGCCUGACUUCCUAAUACUCUCAUUUUGAAGAUUAAGUUUCAACAUAUGAAUUUGGGGGUCAUAUUCAGAACAUAGCACUUAUGAUACUAUCUCAAAUCAUAGACUGCUUUCUCGGUGGGCAUCUAUCUCAGUUUCUUUUCUGUUGUUAUUACAGAGUACCUGAGCCUGAGUAAUUUAUAAAGAAAAUACAUUUAUUUUGGCUCAUGGCUCUAUAGGCUGGGAAGUCCAAGAUUGGGCGGUUACAUCUGGUUGGCUCCUGGUGCGGGCCUCCUGCCGCAUCAUAACAAGGUAGAGAAGUGAAAGGGAAGGUGGGCUUGUAGGAAGGGGGCAAAGCAUGAAGGGCAGGCUUGCUUUAUAGAAACUGGGACACAGCACCCCACAGGAUGAGUGUAUAAAGGCUAGACAGACAAGGGGAUUGUUGUGUUGAACCUGAAAAGUCCCCUCACCUGGCAAUGCUCUCUGUUCCCUGUGAGAAGAAGGGGUUUCUUUUCUUCUGGGAUGAUUCAUCCCUUCACCUGUGGCCUUCCCUAGAGCCCAUCCUUGUGCCAUUCUGCUCUCCAGGCACAUCUCUCUCAGAUGAAUUCCCUCUUCCCUCUUCCUCUGGCCCCUCCUGUUUAUUUAUCUGUUUCCUCACCACUGUGUAAUCAGGUAGGCCCCACUGCUGUGACCUCUGGAAUAAUGAUUGAAUCUGCCCUAUCCUCUCCACAGUGAUGCCUGGGACCCAGCUGAGAUCUCCAUCAUCUCUCAAAACAACUGUGCACUGACCUCCUGACCUAAGCCCAGCCUCUGCCCACUCAGACUGACCUUCACGCAGCUGCACAAUGCUGCAUUUGGAAGCCGGACCUGACCACAUUCGUUUCCCUCUGUUGAGAUUCAUGUUCUGGAGAAAUGAAAAUGCUGUCUCAGUGGAAUGUUGAUUAGCUGGAGUGGAGACCCAAGAUCUCUGUCCAGGCAGGGCCAUCAAAACAUAGAAGUGCUCUUGGCUUUCCAAAAUCUGCACAUCUCCAACUUUUCUUUUAGCUAGAGGUGGCCCUGUGAUUGAUGAGUGACCAGCCAUGUGUGGAGAAAAGCAAUGUGAACAACUUCUGACUUCGCUGUUAAAGAAAAUUGGUCUGUCCCCCAUUUCCUUGCAUUCCCAUUCUUACUGGCUGAAAUUCAAAGCUGAUAAAUGGAGCUAGAGCAGAUAGCUGGGAAAAUGAGUUGAGGGUCUUACAUUAAGACUUGCCAGCAAGAAGAAGAAUUUUUCCAGGGUUCCUGACACCGCCAAAUUGUUCGAUCAGCUCUGAACUCUAUACUGAGAUUCUUUAAGUAUGAGAGACAUGAACUUUGACUGGCUUAAGUGAGCUAUUGAGGUCUCUUUGCUAUUGUGACCUAACUCAGGGGUCAGCAAAUAACACUCUGUGCGCAAAAUCUGACUACGAUCUGUUUUUGUAACUAAAUAAAAUUUCACUGAAACACACCCAUGCUCAUUUAUUUAGGUAUGGCUGCUUUCAUGAUACCAUGGCACAUUUGACUACCUAUAGACAGUGAUAUGAUGUGGAUCUGUGUCCCCACCCAAAUCUCAUGUUGAAAUGUAAUCCCCCUGUGCUGGAGGUGGGAUCUGGUGGGAGGUGAAAUGGGGGCGGUUUCUCAAGAAUGGUUUAGCUCCAUUUCUCUGCUGCUGUAUUCAUGAUAGUAAGUGAGUGAGUUGUCACAAGAUCUGAUUGUGUAAAAGUGUGUGGCACCUCCCCCUUCUCUCUUGCUCCUUCUCGGCCAUGUAAGACCUGCCUGCUUCCCCUUCACCUUCCACCAUGAUUGUAAAUUUCAU